AUGGAGUCCGGCCAGUCUGGUGACGGGGCUAGCCACGGCCACACGAGUACGGUGGUGGAGACUGCCAAGGAGGAAGCGCUCGCCGGCGGCUACGAUGAGGAGGAGGAGGACUGCACACCGCUACCUAAUGGGCUCAUAUGCUCGCGGCAGAAUUGGGAAACGAUGUACGGCAAAUUCGGUGCCUUCGAGGACGAGACGGAUGCUUCUCCAAUGAGGAACACGGAUAGGCCAGUGCCACCAUAUUAUCUGCCAAUUAGCAUGAUGCAAUUCUUCUUAGUGAAGGUGAUCGAGAUCAUGGGAGGUCUCCAAUGGCCACUCCACGUCUAUGGUAUCGUUGCUACGCGUGACUCACAAGAUAACAAGAGGAACUUCUUGUUUCGUUGUGAUAGAGAGCACUGCCAGACCCUUGCCUCACCACAGGAUUCAUGUUUGAGACUUACACGUCCUAGUCGAGCUAUUGUAAUAGUGAACCCUGUAGUUGUUGAGGUUGACUUGAAAGACCCCCCAUCUGAAGACAAGGUUUUAAGCGAGCAUGCUUUUGUUCACAACCACACUGGUCAUAGGAUUAAACCUGGCUUUCCUCAUAGACAGCUGGAAUCAACAGAGGACAGCACGAUGGAGUUUGUGUUUGCACAUCUGCAGAGUGCAGUGGAGGCCACCAUCACGGUUGGAGUCGUUGAAGGAUCGCCUGAUUUCAGGGCUCGUUUUACUGCUCGAACUGCUGGGAUUGAUGAGGAUGUGUUGCUUCUUGACUUUCAGGAUGGUAAGGGCCUCUUUAGUUCGCGAACUGAAAUUUUCUGCGUGUCACAUCGGAUAUAUGGACACACAUUUGAAGUAUUUAACGUAGACUAAUAAUAAAAAC
rnacentral:lncRNA from 1 species